rnacentral:rRNA from 1 species
GAACUCUUCGGAGGGAAGGCAGUGGAAUGAGCGGCGGACGGGUGAGUAACACGUAAGGAACCUGCCUCAAGGAUUGGGAUAACUCCGAGAAAUCGGAGCUAAUACCGGAUAGUUCAACGGACCGCAUGGUCCGGUGAUGAAAGGCGCUUCGGCGUCACCUUGAGAUGGCCUUGCGGUGCAUUAGCUAGUUGGUGGGGUAACGGCCCACCAAGGCGACGAUGCAUAGCCGACCUGAGAGGGUGAUCGGCCACACUGGGACUGAGACACGGCCCAGACUCCUACGGGAGGCAGCAGUAGGGAAUCUUCCACAAUGGACGAAAGUCUGAUGGAGCAACGCCGCGUGAGUGAUGAAGGUUUUCGGAUCGUAAAACUCUGUUGUAAGGGAAGAACACGUACGAGAGGUAAUGCUCGUACCUUGACGGUACCUUACGAGAAAGCCACGGCUAACUACGUGCCAGCAGCCGCGGUAAUACGUAGGUGGCAAGCGUUGUCCGGAAUUAUUGGGCGUAAAGCGCGCGCAGGCGGCCUUUUAAGUCUGAUGUGAAAGCCCCCGGCUCAACCGGGGAGGGCCAUUGGAAACUGGAAGGCUUGAGUACAGAAGAGAAGAGUGGAAUUCCACGUGUAGCGGUGAAAUGCGUAGAGAUGUGGAGGAACACCAGUGGCGAAGGCGACUCUUUGGUCUGUAACUGACGCUGAGGCGCGAAAGCGUGGGGAGCAAACAGGAUUAGAUACCCUGGUAGUCCACGCCGUAAACGAUGAGUGCUAGGUGUUUGGGGGGUUUCCGCCCCUCAGUGCUGAAGCUAACGCAUUAAUCACUCCGCCUGGGGAGUACGGCCGUCAAGGCUGGAAACUCAAAAGAAGUUGACGGGGGACCCGCCCCAAACCGAUGGAAUCAUGUGGGUUUGAUUUCCCAAACAACGCGAAAGAACCUUACCGACCUCUUUGACAUGCCCGUUGACCCGCUUGAGAAGAGCAAAGUUUUCCCUUUC